rnacentral:piRNA from 1 species
UNCCAUAAACAUAGGUGGGUUAGUGGGGAC